rnacentral:rRNA from 1 species
UACAGAGGUAUCAAGCGUUGUUCGGAUUAAUUGGGCGUAAAGGGUGUGUAGGUGGCGCGUUAAGUAGGGUGUGAAAUUUCGGAGCUUAACUCCGAAACUGCAUUCGAUACUGGCGUGCUUGAGGACUGGAGAGGAGACUGGAAUUCAUGGUGUAGCAGUGAAAUGCGUAGAGAUCAUGAGGAAGACCAGUGGCGAAGGCGGGUCUCUGGACAGUUCCUGACGCUGAGGCACGAAGGUCAGGGGAGCAAACGGG